AGCAACAGGGACUCAGAAGGGGGGGCUCUUCCCAGAACAUCCGGCAGGCGUGCUGUUCCAUGUGCCUCUUAACCCAGCUUCCCGCUCAGCAGCAGGCCUUGAGUGCACCUGGCAUACAAACGCCUGCCUGCCCACCCCGGGUGUGAAGACUGACGGGUCAAGGAGGUGUUGGUGAGACUGUUGUGUUCACCAUGUGGAGAUCAGGUGGUGAUUACCGCAUCUUCUUUGCUGACUUUGGUAACUGGGUGUCCAGUGGGGAGCGACCGGGAGUGGCCAAGCUGUUGCCUGGACUCAGCUUCUGACUCUGCAGCCAGGAGUCAGAUGCAGGCCCAAGGGUCCAGGGGAGUUGUUCAGCACCUGGAAUCACGCACUGCGCUGUGGGCCACGCGACGCUUCUGGCUUGUUCUCCCAGGCACAGACAGGCACUUGGAAGGCAGCUUUGCUCCUCUGGUCACCCGGAGACCUCCUAGCAGUGCAGAUGGGACAAACUGAGGGCCUGGGGGAACACCCACUCAUGCCCGGAAGGCCAGGCCCCGGCCUGCUCCGGUGAACGUCAGGAUAGUGGCUGCAGCAGGGAACCAGGGCUGGCCUUGGAUCUGUCCAGCAGAGUCACUGACCGGGCAGGCUUUGCUGCAUAGAGGAUGGCUGCAUUUUGUGCUCAGAGUUGGCUGAAAUGGCUGCGAAGUGUGGACAGUGACCACUGAAUCCCAAAAGUCACUGCACUUGAUCUGAUCCAAAUACCAGUGACUGCAGUUAGGGUAGAGAGCUUCUCCGAAGCAGGGGUCAUGGAGGCUUUUGUGUGGCUGAGGCUUCCCUUUUUCACAACAGUAAGAAGCUAUCAAUGGGAAAUUGUGGACUUUUCCCACCAGGGACUCAAUGUGCAAUAUUCAGUCAAUAUAAAACUCUUAAGAACUC